GGGGGAGAACUUUUCGGGAUCUUGAGAGCGGCGUACGGGUGCGGAACACGUGUGCAACCUGCCUUUAUCAGGGGGAUAGCCUUUCGAAAGGAAGAUUAAUACCCCAUAAUAUAUUUGUCGGCAUCGAUGGAUAUUGAAAACUCCGGUGGAUAGAGAUGGGCACGCGCAAGAUUAGAUAGUUGGUGAGGUAACGGCUCACCAAGUCUGCGAUCUUUAGGGGGCCUGAGAGGGUGAUCCCCCACACUGGUACUGAGACACGGACCAGACUCCUACGGGAGGCAGCAGUGAGGAAUAUUGGACAAUGGGUGCGAGCCUGAUCCAGCCAUCCCGCGUGAAGGACGACGGCCCUAUGGGUUGUAAACUUCUUUUGUAUAGGGAUAAACCUAGAUACGUGUAUCUAGCUGAAGGUACUAUACGAAUAAGCACCGGCUAACUCCGUGCCAGCAGCCGCGGUAAUACGGAGGGUGCAAGCGUUAUCCGGAUUUAUUGGGUUUAAAGGGUCCGUAGGCGGAUCUGUAAGUCAGUGGUGAAAUCUCACAGCUUAACUGUGAAACUGCCAUUGAUACUGCAGGUCUUGAGUGUUGUUGAAGUAGCUGGAAUAAGUAGUGUAGCGGUGAAAUGCAUAGAUAUUACUUAGAACACCAAUUGCGAAGGCAGGUUACUAAGCAACAACUGACGCUGAUGGACGAAAGCGUGGGGAGCGAACAGGAUUAGAUACCCUGGUAGUCCACGCCGUAAACGAUGCUAACUCGUUUUUGGAGCGCAAGCUUCAGAGACUAAGCGAAAGUGAUAAGUUAGCCACCUGGGGAGUACGAACGCAAGUUUGAAACUCAAAGGAAUUGACGGGGGCCCGCACAAGCGGUGGAUUAUGUGGUUUAAUUCGAUGAUACGCGAGGAACCUUACCAAGGCUUAAAUGGGAAAUGACAGGUUUAGAAAUAGACUUUUCUUCGGACAUUUUUCAAGGUGCUGCAUGGUUGUCGUCAGCUCGUGCCGUGAGGUGUUAGGUUAAGUCCUGCAACGAGCGCAACCCCUGUCACUAGUUGCCAUCAUUAAGUUGGGGACUCUAGUGAGACUGCCUACGCAAGUAGAGAGGAAGGUGGGGAUGACGUCAAAUCAUCACGGCCCUUACGCCUUGGGCCACACACGUAAUACAAUGGCCGGUACAGAGGGCAGCUACACUGCGAAGUGAUGCAAAUCUCGAAAGCCGGUCUCAGUUCGGAUUGGAGUCUGCAACUCGACUCUAUGAAGCUGGAAUCGCUAGUAAUCGCGCAUCAGCCAUGGCCCCCGGUU
rnacentral:rRNA from 1 species